AGUCGAGCGGAUGAGAGGAGCUUGCUCCUCGAUUCAGCGGCGGACGGGUGAGUAAUGCCUAGGAAUCUGCCUGGUAGUGGGGGACAACGUUUCGAAAGGAACGCUAAUACCGCAUACGUCCUACGGGAGAAAGCAGGGGACCUUCGGGCCUUGCGCUAUCAGAUGAGCCUAGGUCGGAUUAGCUAGUUGGUGAGGUAAUGGCUCACCAAGGCGACGAUCCGUAACUGGUCUGAGAGGAUGAUCAGUCACACUGGAACUGAGACACGGUCCAGACUCCUACGGGAGGCAGCAGUGGGGAAUAUUGGACAAUGGGCGAAAGCCUGAUCCAGCCAUGCCGCGUGUGUGAAGAAGGUCUUCGGAUUGUAAAGCACUUUAAGUUGGGAGGAAGGGUUGUUUCCUAAUACGAAGCAAUUUUGACGUUACCGACAGAAUAAGCACCGGCUAACUCUGUGCCAGCAGCCGCGGUAAUACAGAGGGUGCAAGCGUUAAUCGGAAUUACUGGGCGUAAAGCGCGCGUAGGUGGUUUGUUAAGUUGAAUGUGAAAUCCCCGGGCUCAACCUGGGGACUGCAUCCAAAACUGGCAAGCUAGAGUAGGGUA
rnacentral:rRNA from 1 species